ACAGGUCUCCCUCGUCCAGCUCUCCCGGAAGGUGGACAGAGACCGACCACCCCAGCCCCCAGAGCCCAGGGAGACCCCGCCUGGGUUCGACGGUGAACAACCACCAAGGCCAGGCCGGUGACAGCCCUGGCGGAGAUCAUUGUUAAGGAAGCUCUUUAGGAACUGGUAGGACUUGUUCUUCCUUUUUAUUAUUAUUUUGGCAUAUUAUGGGGGUACAAAUGCCCUUGCCCCCCUCCCACCUCGAGGCAGAGCUUCAAGCGUGACCAUCCCCCGACGGUGCGCACCUCACUUCAGCGCUGGAACAAGAGUGCAGCGAGACUCUUGCUUAGGUACAAAGUCUAAGGAGGGUUACCAAAAAACUCAGUGAUCUAGGCUUCACGAGGCUCAGCAUGACACUGCAACCCCGCCACCACCCCGGAAUGUCACCACUGACAACCCAGCCAAGACAGAGGAAAGCAGAGCCAGGGGAUGUGAGCAGUGAGAUUCCUGUUGACUUGGAAACUACCGAGUGGGAUGGUGGCAAGGAUUAAAGGAAUUAACGCACGUGAAGCUCUUAAACACAGCCUGGCUCAGCGUAAGCCCCGUGCAAAUGCUGGUUGUGGUUGCUGCUAUUGUCUCUUCCGCCGGAAUUAAUCUCUGCCUUCUCUGAACAGCCAUGGCAUCCUGUCUCCAGAAAGAAGGGAGAGAGAAUUGGAGGAGACAUUAAAUCACAGGUCUCACAUCAUCUACAGAGCUUACAUCAAACUGCAGCGUCAGGUGUUGUGAUUUUUCUCACCAUGCAUGUUCCAACCAUUAAACUUGAGAUCACAUAAGUUUUAGUCGCAUGAAAUAUACCUCCCUCAUUCUUGCCCUUACUCAGCCCUGCCUCAGGUCCUGCCUUUCCACUGAAGUCACCCCAGCCACCCAGCCCUCCCUGCCUCCCUGUCCCUUGCUUUCCAGUGGCAUAUGUCAUCGGGUCCACCGUACGACACUAUCUCUCCACUUCAUCAGCCCAAACUGGCUGUGUGUCCUUGGUCAAUGGCACUUUGGAUGUGUUUCCUCAUUUGUUAACAUAAAUGGUUUAGACCGAAGGUCUCCGAGGUCCUUCCUGGCUCAAAUUUGGGCUCUAUGAUUCUCCUUUGCCAGCCUCCUCCUCCCAGUGCAGGGGGAAACAUUUCACCGUCAUUAAACUGCUUGGCACUUGUUGAUUUUUA